GGUCAGAGGUGACAAGAUGUCGGCUGCUGGUAGCUGUGAGGGGCCUCUGAGAGGAGCAUCCCCGUGACAGAAGCUCGGCGGAGACAGCUGAAGGAGCCGUACUGCGGGAGCGAGCUUGAGGCGGCGGCGGCGGCGGCGGCGGAUCGGGCAGGGCCGGGCGUGGGUGCCGAGGGAGCCCCCGCCACGGGGCGUGACUGCGGGGAGCGUGGGGGAGCGGGGAGUGUCUGGUGCCUGAGACCGGUGAUGCUCCGCCGCCCCCCGGGAAGCCGGGAAGCCGAGCUCCGCGGGAUCCCUUCAUGCCGCCGACUGGUUUAGAGCCCGCCAGAAUGAACAGGAAGAAAGGAGACAAGGGCUUUGAAAGCCCAAGGCCAUAUAAAUUAACCCAUCAGGUGGUCUGCAUCAACAACAUAAACUUUCAGAGAAAAUCUGUUGUGGGAUUCGUAGAACUGACUAUAUUUCCCACAGUUGCAAACUUGAAUAGAAUCAAGUUGAACAGCAAACAGUGUAGAAUAUACCGAGUAAGGAUCAAUGAUUUAGAAGCUGCUUUUAUAUAUAAUGAUCCAACCUUGGAAGUUUGUCACAAUGAAUCAAAACAGAGAAAUCUCAAUUAUUUUUCCAACGCUUAUGCAGCUGCGGUUAGCGCUGUGGAUCCUGAUGCAGGGAAUGGAGAACUUUGCAUUAAGGUCCCGUCAGAGUUAUGGAAACAUGUUGAUGAAUUAAAGGUCCUAAAGAUACACAUCAAUUUUUCUUUGGAUCAACCAAAAGGAGGUCUUCAUUUUGUGGUACCAAGUGUAGAGGGAAGUAUGGCAGAAAGAGGUGCUCAUGUUUUCUCUUGUGGGUAUCAAAAUUCCACAAGAUUUUGGUUCCCAUGUGUUGAUUCAUACUCUGAAUUAUGCACAUGGAAAUUAGAAUUUACAGUAGAUGCUGCAAUGGUGGCUGUUUCCAAUGGAGAUUUGGUGGAGACAGUGUAUACACAUGAUAUGAGGAAGAAGACCUUCCAUUACAUGCUUACCAUUCCAACAGCUGCGUCAAAUAUCUCCUUGGCCAUUGGACCUUUUGAAAUACUUGUAGAUCCAUAUAUGCAUGAGGUUACUCAUUUUUGUUUGCCUCAACUUCUUCCAUUGCUUAAACAUACCACAUCAUAUCUUCAUGAAGUUUUUGAAUUUUAUGAAGAAAUUCUUACGUGUCGAUACCCAUAUUCCUGUUUUAAGACUGUAUUCAUUGAUGAGGCUUAUGUUGAAGUGGCUGCUUAUGCUUCCAUGAGCAUUUUUAGCACAAAUCUGUUACACAGUGCCAUGAUUAUAGAUGAAACACCUUUGACUAGAAGGUGUUUAGCUCAGUCCUUGGCCCAGCAGUUUUUCGGAUGUUUCAUAUCCAGAAUGUCUUGGUCUGAUGAAUGGGUGCUGAAAGGAAUUUCAGGCUAUAUUUAUGGCCUUUGGAUGAAAAAAACUUUUGGUGUUAAUGAAUAUCGCCAUUGGAUUAAAGAGGAGCUGGACAAAAUAGUGGCUUAUGAACUAAAAACUGGUGGAGUUUUACUACAUCCCAUAUUUGGUGGAGGAAAAGAGAAGGAUAAUCCAGCAUCCCAUCUACACUUUUCAAUAAAGCAUCCACAUACACUGUCCUGGGAAUACUACACUAUGUUUCAGUGUAAGGCUCACCUUGUGAUGAGAUUGAUUGAAAAUAGGAUCAGUAUGGAAUUUAUGUUACAAGUUUUCAAUAAACUGCUAAGUUUGGCUAGUACUGCUUCAUCUCAGAAGUUCCAGUCACAUAUGUGGAGUCAGAUGUUGGUUUCCACAUCUGGGUUUUUGAAAUCCAUCUCGAAUGUCUCUGGCAAAGACAUCCAGCCUUUAAUAAAGCAGUGGGUAGACCAGAGUGGAGUGGUAAAAUUUUAUGGAAGUUUUGCCUUUAAUAGAAAACGAAAUGUCUUGGAGUUGGAAAUAAAACAAGAUUAUACAUCUCCUGGAACUCAGAAAUAUGUGGGGCCACUUAAAGUGACAGUACAGGAAUUAGAUGGAUCCUUCAAUCAUACAUUGCAGAUUGAAGAAAACAGUCUUAAACAUGAUAUUCCCUGCCAUUCCAAAAGCAGAAGGAAUAAGAAGAAAAAAAUUCCACUGAUGAAUGGAGAAGAAGUUGACAUGGAUCUUUCUGCAAUGGAUGCUGAUUCUCCUUUGCUGUGGAUAAGGAUAGACCCAGACAUGUCGGUACUGAGGAAAGUGGAGUUUGAGCAGGCUGACUUUAUGUGGCAGUACCAGCUCCGCUAUGAGAGGGAUGUGGUCGCACAGCAAGAGUCCAUCUUGGCCUUGGAGAAGUUCCCUACUCCAGCAUCUCGGCUUGCCCUCACGGACAUACUAGAACAAGAGCAGUGUUUCUACAGAGUGAGGAUGUCAGCCUGCUUCUGUCUUGCAAAGAUUGCAAAUUCAAUGGUGAGCACAUGGACAGGACCACCAGCCAUGAAGUCACUCUUUACUAGAAUGUUUUGUUGUAAAACUUGUCCAAACAUUGUGAAAACAAACAACUUCAUGAGCUUUCAAAGUUACUUUCUACAGAAGACUAUGCCAGUUGCAAUGGCUUUAUUGAGAGAUGUUCAUAACCUUUGUCCCAAAGAAGUCUUAACGUUUAUUUUAGAUUUAAUCAAGUACAAUGACAACAGAAAAAAUAAGUUUUCAGAUAACUAUUAUCGUGCAGAAAUGAUUGAUGCCCUUGCCAACUCUGUUACGCCUGCAGUCAGUGUGAAUAAUGAAGUUCGAACUUUGGAUAACUUAAAUCCAGAUGUGCGACUCAUUCUUGAAGAAAUCACUAGGUUUUUGAAUAUGGAAAAACUUCUUCCAAGUUAUAGACAUACCAUCACUGUCAGUUGUUUGAGAGCCAUACGAGUGCUUCAGAAGAAUGGACAUGUGCCAAGUGAUCCAGCUCUUUUUAAAUCUUACGCAGAAUAUGGCCAUUUUGUGGACAUUAGGAUAGCAGCUUUGGAAGCAGUGGUUGAUUAUACUAAAGUGGACAGGAGUUAUGAAGAACUGCAAUGGCUACUUAAUAUGAUUCAGAAUGACCCUGUACCCUAUGUAAGACAUAAGAUUCUAAACAUGUUGACCAAAAACCCACCAUUUACUAAGAACAUGGAAUCUCCCUUAUGCAAUGAAGCUUUGGUAGAUCAACUUUGGAAACUUAUGAAUUCUGGUACUUCACAUGACUGGAGGUUACGGUGUGGUGCUGUGGACUUGUACUUCACACUUUUUGGCCUCAGUAGACCUUCCUGCUUACCCUUGCCAGAGCUUGGGUUGGUCCUUAAUUUGAAAGAGAAAAAAGCUGUCUUAAAUCCGACCAUAAUUCCAGAGGCCAUAGCAGGCAACCAAGAAGCUGCAGUUAAUCCAAGUAGUCACGCACAGCUAGUUGGAUUUCAGAACCCUGAAGAUGAUCACCUUGCCAAGGAAGCAUCAUGUAAUAUAUCAGCUCAUCAGCAGGGAGUGAAGAGGAAGGCUGAUACACCACUGGGGUCCCCACUAGAACCUGGUCAAAUACUGGAGAAGAAUGAGGAUAGCAGUAAAGUCAAACUCAAAAUCAGAUUUUCAAAUUCUCAAGAUGAGGAGGAAAUUGAUAUGGAUACUGUUCAUGAUAGCCAGGCAUUCAUUUCUCAUCAUUUAAACAUGCUUGAAAGGCCAUCAACUCCAGGGCUCUCAAAAUAUCGGCCAGCUAGCUCCCGAUCUGCUUUAAUACCCCAGCACUCAUCAGGCUGUGAUGGCACACCCACCACAAAACCCCAGUGGAGUAUGGAACUUGCACGGAAGGGAACAGGUAAAGAACAAUCACCUUUGGAGAUGAGUAUGCAUCCAGUUGCAACCGCUCCACUUUCAGUAUUUACUAAAGAAUCUACGUCUUCCAAACACAGCGACCACCAUCACCACCAUCACCACGAGCACAAGAAGAAGAAGAAGAAGCACAAACACAAGCACAAGCACAAGCACAAGCACGACAGUAAAGACAAGGACAAGGAGCCCUUCGCUUUCUCCAGCCCUGCCAGCGGCAGGCUCAUCUUUUUCCCACGACCAGUUCCCACUGAUUUUCAUCAGCCACUCUGAUUUGUUUUUAGAACUUUUAUAGACUCCAUAGUCAUCAAGCUCACACCAAGUCAGUAGGUGUCACUGGAUGCCUUCCGAGUGCGAGAUUCCGUGGAGAAUAUAAGGCCCCUGCCUUGAAGGGGACACUUCACACAUCAGGUUUUGAUUCUCAUGCAGUUGUUUUCCAUUCCAAGAGGAGCCAGCUAUUAUCCUAAAAGGUCAGUAUUUGGUUUCCAUGCUUAAUCAAACAAUCGAGCUUCAUGACUAUUCUUUCUAUUAAAUACGGAGGUCUUUUUGGUUAAAUACAGAUGUUCUGCUGCUGCUUCUUAGGUGAUUGCCUGGUGAUUCAGAAGACUAAAGAGCUGGCUACUUCUUUACUCCUUUUUCCACUUAUUUUUGCAGGGGCUCCAGUUGAGCAAUGCCUUAGCCUCUAUGAAGAAAAAAAAAAAGACAUACUGGCUGGCUCUCUACCUGUUGUAUUGGACACAGAAGCAAGGGUCGCACCGUGGAGUCCCUGAAGAUCUUGUAAAGCAGAGCUGCCAUGCCUUCCCUGGACUGCCUAGUUCCAGACUUUUAGGUGAAAGAGAAAUAAAUGUCUGCCUUGCUUAAAGAGCUGUGUUUGACCACAUCACAGUUCACUUCAGGGCAAUUCAGUACUUUCUCCCUAAUAACUUUGCUUCCUCAAACCUUCAUCGUGGUCUAAAGUCUAAAUAAAUAGUGUGAUGUAGUUAUUUCAUUUAGUCAACAAAUAUUCCUGGAGACCUACUAUGUGCCAGAUCCUAGCACCUGGGACUGAACUGUUCAGUAAUCGAAGAAACGAAGAAAUGUACAUUUUAGAGGGGGAAGAAGAAAUAAAAGAAUAGAUACAUAAUUUAUAAAUGGUGACAUAUGCUAAGAAAAUGGAAGCAUGGUUCAGGAGAUAGAGAGGAUACGGGAGUGCUAGUAUUAUUUUAUAUAGGGCAGUGGAGGGGAACCACCCUCCGACGAAAUAAUAUUUGAGCAGUGACCUGAAUGAAUGGAAGGGGUGACGGUUAAUUUUAUGUGCCAACUUGGUCGGGCCCCAGAGUUCCCAGAUGUUUGGUUAAACAUAAUGUCUGUGUGUGUCUGUGAGGGAGUUUGGGAUGAGAUUAACAUCUGAAUCAGUAGACAUAGUAAAAGCAGGUUACUGCCCUAAUGUGGGUGGGCCUUCAUCAAAUCAUUGCAUAGAACAAAAGACUGAGUAAGAAAGAAUUCUCCCUCUCUUUGCCUGACUCUCUUCUAGCUGUGACAUCGGUUUUCUCUUGCUUUUUGUACUCGGACUGGAAUAUACACCAUCAGCAUUCGUGGCGCUCCAGAUCUUGGACUUCUCUGUCUCCAUAAUCACGUGAGCC